AAAAAAUGGCAUUAAAAUACUACUGACAGAUUGGACACUGUAGUUCUCCAGACAACAUUAAUCUAUUGAUGACUCUGAAGACGUGAUUGAUGCAGUUACGGAAAUUGGUGACAUAGGAGGUUGGCUGCAUUUUCAUUGGAUUGGUUCAGACAUCCUGCUGACUUA